rnacentral:misc_RNA from 1 species
UUUCCGUAGGUGAACCUGCGGAAGGAUCAUUAUCGUACCAAAUGUGUCAGGCAUGCUCGGGCUGUUGCUGACUCAAAAAGUCGUGAACGCUGGAGGGUGUCCUCUCACAUAAUAAUCCAUCUCACCCUUUGUGCAUAACCGCGUGGGCACCCUUUGGGAUCGGACCGAGCUCGGAAGGGGGCCCGCGUUUUCACGCAAACCCUCCCACCUAAAAGUGUAGAACGUCCUCAUUUAUGCAAUAAAUACAACUUUCAACAACGGAUCUCUUGGCUCUC